rnacentral:rRNA from 1 species
GACGAACGCUGGCGGCGUGCUUAACACAUGCAAGUCGAACGGAAAGGCCCUGCUUUUGUGGGGUGCUCGAGUGGCGAACGGGUGAGUAACACGUGAGUAACCUGCCCUUGACUUUGGGAUAACUUCAGGAAACUGGGGCUAAUACCGGAUAGGAGCUCCUGCUGCAUGGUGGGGGUUGGAAAGUUUCGGCGGUUGGGGAUGGACUCGCGGCGUAUCAGCUUGUUGGUGGGGUAGUGGCUUACCAAGGCUUGGACGGGUAGCCGGCCUGAGAGGGUGACCGGCCACAUUGGGACUGAGAUGCGGCCCAGACUCCUACGGGAGGCAGCAGUGGGGAAUAUUGCACAAUGGGCGGAAGCCUGAUGCAGCAACGCCGCGUGCGGGAUGACGGCCUUCGGGUUGUAAACCGCUUUCGCCUGUGACGAAGCGUGAGUGACGGUAAUGGGUAAAGAAGCACCGGCUAACUACGUG